ACAAUGGGCGCAAGCCUGAUCCAGCCAUACCGCGUGGGUGAAGAAGGCCUUCGGGUUGUAAAGCCCUUUUGUUGGGAAAGAAAAGCAGCGGGCUAAUACCUUGCUGUUCUGACGGUACCCAAAGAAUAAGCACCGGCUAACUUC
rnacentral:rRNA from 1 species